GUCCGUCGCGGGAGCUGAGCCCACGAGGCCCUGGAGCGCGGUGGCUGGGCCCGUAGCGCCACCUGGCGGCGGAUCAGGACCCCGCGCCCUUGCGUCCCUGGAAGUGGGAGAAGGGGCAGGGGGCUCCACCCUGCACCACCACCCCAGCGCGCUCCCGAGGCCGUUCCCCAAGGAUGCGCGGGCCCCAGGGAGAGCGACGCUGCCCGCGCGGCGCUUUCCUGGCCGCCUGGAGUCCGGGAACGGCGAAUCCCGCUCGCAGCGGACCGAGGCGAGGCGCAGCGGGACGGGAUCGGUGGGAACGGAAACAGCGGUCACCCGGAAGCCCAGAACCAGCGAGUACGCGGUGCAGUGUUCGCUUCCCAAACGUUGUGGGACAAACGCCUUUCAACUGUUUCUGGACGCCCGUGGGCCGGCGUUACCCUGUUGAGGUCAUUUGUCCUGCCUCAGCCUCUCCAAAUGGUGGGUCUCUGCCUGGGGAGGCUCUGGAGAGGCUCUGGGAAGUGAUUCAAGACCAAGGGGAAGGAGAAAGGUCUGCUCUGGGCUCCUCAGCCCUGAAAGGAAGCCGCAGUGCCCUUACUGCAGUAGAGGUGAUAAGCUCCAGAGAUGUUUCAUCCCAAAGACUUCCUAAGACUUCCUGGUCCACUGGGAACCAGAGGAGUGUUAGUAAACCAGCCUACAUCCUUUUAUUUUAG
rnacentral:lncRNA from 1 species